GGAGCUAAUACCGGAUAGUUCAAUGAACCGCAUGGUUCAAUGAUGAAAGACGGUUUCGGCUGUCACUUACAGAUGGACCCGCGGCGCAUUAGCUAGUUGGUGGGGUAAUGGCUCACCAAGGCGACGAUGCGUAGCCGACCUGAGAGGGUGAUCGGCCACACUGGGACUGAGACACGGCCCAGACUCCUACGGGAGGCAGCAGUAGGGAAUCUUCCGCAAUGGACGAAAGUCUGACGGAGCAACGCCGCGUGAGUGAUGAAGGUUUUCGGAUCGUAAAGCUCUGUUGUUAGGGAAGAACAAGUACGAGAGUAACUGCUCGUACCUUGACGGUACCUAACCAGAAAGCCACGGCUAACUACGUGCCAGCAGCCGCGGUAAUACGUAGGUGGCAAGCGUUGUCCGGAAUUAUUGGGCGUAAAGGGCUCGCAGGCGGUUUCUUAAGUCUGAUGUGAAAGCCCCCGGCUCAACCGGGGAAGGUCAUUGGAAACUGGGGAACUUGAGUGCAGAAGAGGAGAGUGGAAUUCCACGUGUAGCGGUGAAAUGCGUAGAGAUGUGGAGGAACACCAGUGGCGAA
rnacentral:rRNA from 1 species